rnacentral:rRNA from 1 species
AAGUCGAACGCCCCGCAAGGGGAGUGGCAGACGGGUUACUCCCACGUGGGAAUCUACCCAGUUCUACGGAACAACUGAGGGAAACAGCAGCUAAUACCGUAUACGCCCUACGGGGGAAAGAUUUAUCGGAAUUGGACGAGCCCGCGUUGGAUUAGCUAGUUGGUGAGGUAACGGCCUACCAAGGCGACGAUCCGUAGCUGGUCUGAGAGGACGACCAGCCACACUGGGACUGAGACACGGCCCAGCACUCCUACUGGAGGCAGCAAUGGG